rnacentral:rRNA from 1 species
GUGCCAGCAGCCGCGGUAAGACGAACCGUGCGAACGUUGUUCGGAAUCACUGGGCUUAAAGGGCGCGUAGGCGGGUCCCCCAGUCCGGGGUGAAAUCUUUCGGCUCAACCGGAAAAGGGCCUUGGAUACUGGGGACCUGGAGGGAGGUAGGGGCAUGCGGAACUUCCGGUGGAGCGGUGAAAUGCGUUGAUAUCGGAAGGAACGCCGGUGGCGAAAGCGGCGUGCUGGACCUCUGCUGACGCUGAGGCGCGAAAGCCAGGGGAGCGAACGGGAUUAGAAACCCCGGUAGUCC